GACGUAGGGCGCGAGCGUUGUCCGGAUUUAUUGGGCGUAAAGAGCUCGUAGGCGGCUUGUCGCGUCGUUCGUGAAAACCUGCAGCUCAACUGCAGGCUUGCGGUCGAUACGGGCAGGCUGGAGUUCGGUAGGGGAGACUGGAAUUCCUGGUGUAGCGGUGAAAUGCGCAGAUAUCAGGAGGAACACCGGUGGCGAAGGCGGAUCUCUGGGCCUUACCUGACGCCUGGAGGCGACGAAAGCUAGGGGAGCAAACAGG
rnacentral:rRNA from 1 species